ACCAUACCAUUAUUCAAAAGGGAAGAAAUGUGAGAAACGAGUGCAAUCGAGUCCUGAUUUUUGAUCGCCUAUAUUUCCCGGGAUAUAAGGGAAUCAGGUCGUGUGUAGUUCAAGGGGAGUAAUAGAAGGAUGCCAUGAUUAGUUGGAGAGUCGAGUGACGUUCCAUCAAGGCUUCGGUGCGUGGUCUUGUUUAUUACAUCAAAAACAAAAGAAAAUUACAUUAAAGAAAAGGAAAAUACAAGAUCCUAUCUAUAAGUUUUCUAAAACUUGAUCUUGAGUCUUGACCGGUUCUUCAUGCAGACUCUGAUCUGAACCUGGAUGCUUGCUAGUUACAUGUGUUAGUUCAUUCUUCUACGACUUCUUCUGAUCAAAAUGGGAAAUGUAAUGCUCGUGACUUCAGUCAUGUCUUGAGCAAUCCACAUAUUUUCAUCCACUUCUGCAUUUGGAUUCAGUUUUUAUAUUUUUUUUCUUUAUUCUGGAUUGAGACUUCAUCUUUGGCUAUCUCGAACCCUGUGGCCUGAGGUAAAACCUGCUCAGACGCCAAAACAAACAAACGAACGAAAUUUUCUGCCGCAGUUUUCACUACAAAAAUUUUGUGAGUUAUUUGUAACAAAAAUUCUAAACUACUUCAUUUUUUAAAGCAAUAAAGGUCGGGGAUGGUGUACCUUAGGAAAACAUGGUUAUGAUGCUUUUUUUAAUGGUGUUUCCUUGUUGUCAAAAUGAUGCCUCAAUUAAGGAUUAUGUUGGAAACAUGUGGCUAGGGAAUGAUGUACCUUAUAUAAUAAUGAUAUUAGGGAAUAGUGUACCUUGCGUUUAAAAUAACAUAAACUAGGGAGUGGAGACUCUAUGUUGAAAUAGGACACUAGGAAGUGGUGACCUUGUGUCUAAAAUAAGAAAAUGAGACUAGGGAGUGGUGACCCUAUGUCUAAAAUAAUAUCAACUAGGGAGUGGAAACCCUAUGUUGGAAAAGAGACUAAGGAGUGGUGACUCUAUGUCUAAAAUAAUAUUAACUAGGGAGUGGAGACAUCUAUGUUGGAAAAGAAACUAGGGAGUGAAGACCCUAUGUUUAAAAUAGAGUCAACUAGGGAGUGGAGACCUUAUGUUGGAAAAUAAGACUAGGGAGUGAUGAUCCUAUGUCUAAAAUAACAUCAACUAGGGAGUGAAGACCCUAUGUUGGAAAAGAAGACUAGGGAGUGGAAACCUUAUGUCUAAAAUAACAUCAACUAGAGAGUGGAGACCCUAUGUCUAAAAUAACAUCAACUAGGGAGUGAAGACCUUAUGUUGAAAAAGGAAACUAGAGAGUGGAGACCCUAUGUUUAAAAUAAUAUCAACUAGGGAGUGUACCUUACGUCUAAAAAAAUAUCAACUAGGGAGUGGAGACCUUAUGUUGGAAAAAAAGAGACUAGGGAGUGGAUGCUCUAUAUCUAAAAUAACAUCAACUAGGGAGUGGAGACCCUAUGUUGGAAAAAAGAAGACUAGGGAAUGAGGACCCUAUGUCUAAAAUAACAUCAACUAGGGAAUGAAAACCUUAUGUUGGGAAAUGCAGUUAGGGAUUGGUGCACCCUAUACUAUCAUGAGUUUGAACUUUCUUUCUUUUCUUUCUUUUUUCAUAAUUUUCAUCUUUCUUUCUUUUUUUUUAAAUUUUAGAGAAUGAGUAAAUGUAGGAAAGAAUUUUUAGAGGAGACUUCCCUUUUUGGAGUUGUUGCUGCAAAGUUAUUUCUAGCCCUCACGCAGUUUCUUUUUGGUUGCACCUGCUUCUUGUAAGGUUGCUUUUGGAUUGCACCUGUUACCUAUUUUUUUUUCAAACAAAGAAUAAUUUGUCAGUUUGAAAUGGUGGUUGGUUUUGUGACGUUGAGUAUUUCAGUCACUUGAUCUCGGCCAUGCUUUUUUGAUGAUGAUUUCACCUGCAACUAAUUGUUUCCUGGAUACCGAUUGCAUUUCUAGCCCCGGAGAACGUUUAAAUUUUUCAAAACUUUACCAUGACGAUUGGUCGCGUAGGACUUAACCUUUUCAGCUUUAUUUUGCCUCUAUGGGCAUUUGACUUCUUUCUUCUAAUUUUAACUUCAGAUCAUUGGGGAACCUUUAGCUCUUCAAACUUUGCCAAAAUGGUUAGUCACUUGGGACUUAACCUUUCAACUUCAUUCCGAUUCUUUGUUUUAUUUCCUUAAACUGAUAUUUAUUGCAUUCUGAUUCUUGAUUCAUUAUUUCGAAAUCUGACAGCGUUUUAGGAUAUGGGCAUGACGUCCACAAGUAUGUUAUAUUAUUGAAAUCUGCAUUUAACAGAACUGAAAAAGAAUAAGAGAAGUGGUAAAUUCAUGAAAAGAGACAUGGACGAUGAAAUAUUGAUUUCAUUUAUUUGAAUUUUAAAGAUGAAGGGUUCACAUAAAAUUAAGACAAUAAAAGUAAAAUAUCCGGAUUACACCCUGAAAUAAUCCGAAUGAAGAAAGGAUAGCCAGACCGACUAUCGAGACUCCCGUCUGACCGAGAACUUUCAGGUUUGGCGACCAUUUGUGGCUUUUCUUCUGUCUUGGCAAUGGCUACAAUGACCUUCAAUGCUGGAUCAAAUUCCCCAUCAUCACAUAUCAUUCCAACUACUGGCCCAUUGGUGUGAGUAGGCAGAGGAUUAUUCGUCAUAUUAUAGGCCUCUUCAUCCCUAAGAACUAUUGACUUGGCCUUAAUAAGGCCCUCCACCGCUCUUUUGAGAGUCCAACAAUCUUCAGUAUCAUGCCCUACUGCUCUAGAGUGGUAUUCACAUCUAGCAUCAGCUCGGUGCGAGAGGGACUCGGGGUUCGACUGGUUUGGGGCUACUGGUUGUAGCAGACCUAGCCUGGUUAAAUUUUGAAGCAAACUUGAAUACGAUUCACCAAUAGGGGUAAACGAAUUCCAUUUGAGGGGCUCUUUUAGGUGAGGAUUGUAUUGGGGAACAUUUGGUUGGGGAUUAUAUGGAGCUUGGUAGGGAUAGACAUUUUUGAAAGGUGGAGCCUGGUUUUGUGUAUAAUGUUGUGGACACAUGUAAGGUUGCAUGUUCAUCACCGUAUAGUGAGGCGGUGCCACAACGUAUGCAACAUCAUAAUAAUGUUGCGGGGUUCUUGGCGGCACAUAUGAUUGGUUGAAUGACCUGUGCGCCCCCCUCGAUAUUGAAGCCUUCAUGGCUCCCUCUUCUCUCUUGUUUCUAUUUAUCAAAUCCUCUGAACCAUUCUGAACGGCCUAUAAUGUGGCCUUAAAGGCAGCAUGACUCAAUAUUCGGCCUACUUCUAAUCCUAUUUCAACCAUCUCCCCAAUUUUGAUAGCCUCAGCAAAGAGUUUACCCAUAGGGGACAUCAUGUUCUGGAAGUAGUCCGCCUCUUGGUCCUGUAUGAAGACCGUAACCAUUUCAGCUUCAUCCAUUGGAGGCUUUACCUUGGCGGCUUUGUUCGCGCCAUUUGAUAGCAUAUUCACUAAAACUUUCCGCAGUUUUCUUUUUCAAAUUGGACAAAGAGUUUCUGUCGGAAGCGAUGUCCACAUUAUACUAGAAAUGAUGGAUAAAAUCUCGGGCCAGAUCAGCCCACACAUGCCAAUGUGCAAUUUCUUGAUCCGUGUACCAUUCAAAAGCAAUUCCGGUGAGACUUUCUCCAAAAUAGGCCAUUAACAACUCCUCUUUCCCACCAACGCCCCUCAACUGGUUACAAUAUCUUUUUAUGUGAGCGAUCGGGUCUCCGUGCCCGUCGUACUUUUCAAAUUUUGGUAUCUUGAAGCCAACUAACAAGUGGACAUGGGAAAAUAUGAGCAAGUCAGCGUAGGAGACGCUCUUUUGUCCGCUCAGACCCUGCAUACUCUUUAAGCUCUGCUCCAAGCUUUUCAUCUCCCGAGCCAUUUCCUCUUUUUCGGGAUUCUUGACAAUAUUUUCUUGCUCAACCGAGAAGUCACAUUGCGGAGGUUGAGUAAAUGAGUAUGAGGUCACAUAUGUUAUUUCUGGUUGAAAUUAUGGACCCUGAAAGGUGAACGUUGGAGGCCCAAAAUACGGUUAUGGUAUAGUUGGUUGUGCUAUGGUGCAGAUUGGUGUUGCAGAGAACAUUGUUGGCAGUGCCUUUGAAACCGGCGCCUGGAGGCGAAUCACAAAAAGCAUUCCGGGACCGUUAAACGGCAUUGGAAGGUACCCGCAUGGGAUAAAUAGGUUGGACAUAUGGACUUUGGCAGCCCCACCUGAUCUCGGGAUCAACUUAGGAAACCCAGGGAUUGCACUCUGCGGUUUCCUCCCAUUAGACCAUGCAUUCCACAUAUCUAGCAUGCAGAGACGCAACAUUCUAUUCUAUUCAGCAGUUGUUGAUUCCGGUAGUGGAAUAACCGAUGUCGGGCAAUCCUCAGGAUUGACAAUUGGUAGAUGACUUUCGGAGGCCAUAGGGACUUUGCCUUUAGAUCUUAUAAUAAAGUAGGGAUGGGAAGCCAUAUUACCAACAAAACCAACCACCUGAAUAGAACCUGGCUAAAUUGCACGCACACCAAUCUUCUUAGUUUUGAGGCAUUUAACAGAUAGGAAAUCGCACAUUGGAAUGUAAUGCACCUAAACAGUUAAACGCUUCUACCAUGCUUUAGAAUGGUUGCAUGUUUCAUCUCGACUUUCAAAUCUUUGUACUCUUUUCUUCCAUUUCUGGCUCUUUGUUGGUUUCACCACUCUCUUUAUUUUUGAUCUCAUCAUUCUUGAUUUUUCCCUCCUGUUUUUGUCACUCUUUAUUUUCUUUUUUUUAAUUUGUUUUUCACUCAAUUUUUCUCCUUUUGUUUUGUUUUUUUUUUUAUAUUUUUUUCACUCAAUAUUUUUCUCUUUUUCAUUUAUUUUUCACUUAGCUUGUUUAUGGAUCUGAUCGAAUCCGAUAGGGAUUACCUACGUAUUAUGACGCCGCAUUAAUCAGAUUAUUAGUAGUUCAGGGAACAAAUGGCUCCUAAUCAAAAAAAAUAUUUUGAUUUUUUUUAAAAGAAAGACUUCUAAAGAUUUAUAGAGCAAAUGUGUGACAAGAAAGUGUCACCGUUACUAAAAGGUAAGUUUUAUAGAGCAGUGGUUAGGCCUGCCAUAUUAUAUGGAACUGAAUGUUGGCCGGUAAAGAACUCACACAUCCAGAAGAUGAAAGUAGCAGAGAUGAGGAUGUUGAGGUGGAUGUGCGGGCAUACAAGAAUGGAUAAGAUUAGGAAUGAAGAUAUUCGAGAGAAGGUGGGCGUGGCCCCCAUGGAGGACAAGAUGCGGGAAGCAAGACUCAGAUGGUUCGGGCACAUUCAGAGGAGGAGCAUUGAUGCACCGGUGAGGAGGUGUGAGCGACUAGCUGUAGUGGGCACGCGGAGAGGUAGAGGACGACCUAAGAAGUAUUGGGGAGAGAUGAUCAGAGAGGACAUGGCGCGACUUAGGAUUACUAAGGACAUGGCCCUUGACAGGGAAUUAUAGAGGUCGAGUAUUAAGGUUGUAGGUUAAGUGNNNNNNNNNNNNNNNNNNNNNNNNNGGGGUAAGGUCUGCGUACAUAUUACCCUCCCCAGACCCCACUUGUGGGAUUAUACUGGGUUGUUGUUGUUGUACUUCUAAAGAUUCUUUUUCUUUUCUCGUUUUUUUUGUUUGGAUUUUUUGGGAAUUUCAAAAGUAGGAAGAAUAUAUAUAUAUAUAUAUAUUUCUUUUUCUUUCCCUAAAGAAGAAAACGUUUUGUUUUUGGAUUCUUGGACUAUAAUUUUGAACUUCUGAAAGAAAGACUUCUAAAGAAAACAGAAAAUAUUGUUGGAUCUUGAAUUUUUUAUUAUUUUUCAAAAGAAAAACUUUUGAAGAAGAACGAAAAUAUUUUUUAAUUUUGAGAAAAAAUUUAAAGAAAAUAUUUUUGGAUUUUUAAAAGUUGGGGUCUCCAAGAAAGACUUUUCUAAAGAAAGAAGUAAAGAAAAUUAUUUUUGGAUUUUUGAAAAUUAGGGGCCAGAACCGAUGAGGUUUGCCUACAUAUCUCACAUCCGGUGAGAAUCAGACUCGCGUAGGUUGAUCAGUUUUGACACAACAAGAAAAUAUAUUUUUUGAAUAUAUUGACUCAUUUUGAAAUUAAUUUUAUUUUUUUCAUUUUUACCAAAAUUUCGGUGGAGUUUCGGGAUUUUUUCAAACAUCUGGGUUUCUCGGAACCAGUCAAAUUUUCUCUCUCCUACCUCACUCUUGUUUUUUCUUCAUUUUCUUUCCUUAUUCUAAAAGCCGAUUAUAUGCAAGCUGAAACAAACAAAUGCACAAAUAGCACGUAGGAUGCAUCAAAUGAUUUUUUAUUUUGGGUGCACCUGUCCUGAAUGGACCCAACAACUGUGUUGAGUCCCCACAGUCAAAUACACAUGAUGCAAACAAACAUUCCUACCAGGGAUCUGGAAAGAGGCUAUGUUAUUCUAGGUUUAAAAUCCUGGGGGAGUGUUUUAGACCUGGCUUACCCAAGCGGACAGCUCGAGCCGAGGUGGGGGCAAUGUACCGGGAGCACGAAAGUCUAUCCAUCCUAGUUGCUGAUCCAGCCUCAUUCAAUUUGGUAUGACCUCUAACAUAAAAGUGGGUCACACGUACGUGUGCAUCAUAGUUUCAUAAGACUCAGAAGGGAGGCGUAAGAAGACAGUUUAUACAGUUCAAAUAAUAUCAAAGCAGUAAAUGAGCAGCAAUUAGCACAUUAGACCUACAAACACAGUAAUAUCAACAAUCAAGAAAGCCAAGUAUAGAUCAUAUUAACAAACUCGAAUUCUGAACCCUAAAUCAGAAGUUCUAGGUUCUUGAUCCCCAACAGAGUCGUCAGAGCUGUCACACCUCCUUUUUACGAGGAAUAAGGAGUUUUUUCAAUUAAAGUGACAUUAUUCGAAAUAAAAUUAUUUAUUUAAUUAGAGUUGCCACUUGGGAUAAUUAUUAUGGUGUCCCAAGUCACCGGUUUGUUUUAAAAUCCCAAAUCGAGAAAAUUGACUCUAUUUUAAAGUCCGCGAAACAUAGAAGACCGGGUAAGGAAUUCUGUUAUUCGGGAGAAGGGGUUAGGCAUUCCCGAAUUCCGUGAAUCUAGCACGGUCGCUUUAGUCAUACCUGGCUUAGUCAAUUGUUUUAAUUAUGCAUUUUUAGAACCUACGUGCAUUUUACCUUUUACCGCAUUUAAUUAUGGCGUUUAUGGAUUUAUCUUUGAAACGGAUCACAUGUAUGUGAAUCCGUUCUGUUUAGUAUGCUAAAAUUAUGUCACACGUACGUGUACACGAUUAAUAAUAAUUUAUAAAUCGUUAAUAUUUUUUCGCCCAAAGUUGCGCGAACACAUACCUUGGUUUUAAUUUUUAAAAUUGUAAUUAUGUCACGCGAACGUAUACAUAAUCACGAUGAUUUAAUUAAGAGCGGGCCUAAAUCAUACUAGCGAUUUGUAAGUUAUUCUCCUAAGCUAUUUUGAGAUUAAUGUAAGGUCAUAAAUUAUGGAAUUAUUUAUUGUGAAAAAAAUGGAUAAAUUAAUUAUGGAAAGAUGGACUAGCUUAUUCAUCAUGGGCCGACUGUUCUAAUUUUUGCCCAAUUAAUACAACUAAUGGUCUGUACCCUUAAAUGAAUAUCUAAAGCCUAACUAUUUCCAAAGAUCAAAUGCUGGCCUAUUAAUUAUUAACCAUCUCAAAACCAAAAACUUCUUACCAUUCCAAAUUACUAUCGUGACCCAAUUAUCCAAUAUAUUAAUAACAUAGUCAUUGCCCAUACGCCACUGAAACAGAAGCGCCCAACAAAGGCCCAUAUCUCAAUUCUAUCAUAAAGACUUUUAAGCUUAUCUCAAUUCUUCAGCACAUUGUGCAAAAGACUUGGAGUCAAAUUCAAUGAAUUCAGAAACUAAGAGAUAAAGAAACAUUGUAUUAAUUCAUUUCAGUAGAACAGACAAUAUAAAAAGUAAUCAUUCAUAGAAAGUAACCAAAAAUAUGACUUGAAACUAUAAUGAAAAUAGAGAUGGACAUUAGGAAGAACUUGCCUUUUGACCUUUUACAGUAGGUGAAUCCAAAAGCAAAAAAUAACCCAGUACGAGACCUCGAUGAAGCAGAACCUCGUUAAACGACACUCGAACCUCGACAACAAGGCGGCUUCGAACCCCAACUCGGCGAUGUUAACCCAGCUCUAUCACGGGUGAUUUUAUGGUGCUUUAUAGUGGUGCUACAACUGGUUUUUGUAAGUGUUUAUGGGUGGUUUAAGGCUAUUUUUGGAGCCUUUUGGUGGCUGUUUUUUAGCACUAUUUUGGCUGCGUUUCUGGCUAGGAUUUGGACUAUUUUUUAUGUUGUUUCGAGGCAGUUUCAAGGCUGGUUUAGGGAUAGUUUUCACCUCGUUUUUGGAGCUGAAAUGGGUGGCUUUGGAGGUCGUUUUUGGGACUAUUUCGCAACAAGGUUUGGUUGCAUUUUUUGUUGCUGCUUUUUUGGCAACUUUACGGACUUUUUAUAGCCAGCUUUCAUGGUUAUUUGAUACGGUUCAUGGGGGCUAUUUUGCUGGAGAUUUCAGUUAUGUUUGGGACUGUUUUCAGCUUGUUUUGUGAGUGGAUUUGGGUGACGUUUUGAGAUCAUUUUUGGGUGGAGAAGACGGACUAGUUUAGGGUGGUUUGAGGGCAGCGUUUUGGCGUGGUUUAACUGGGGUUUUGCGACUGGGUUCUCAUCGAGCUACUGCUGCAUUUUUGCAGGUACGGAGACUAGAUUUUGUUGCUUUUCUUUGAAUGAGCAAGAAAAUAAGAUGGGUAGAUGAAGGAUAAGGCUCCCUCUGUUUCUCUCG
rnacentral:lncRNA from 1 species